rnacentral:rRNA from 1 species
UACGGAGGGGGCUAGCGUUGUUCGGAAUUACUGGGCGUAAAGCGUGCGCAGGCGGUUCGUUGUGUCGGCGGUGAAAGCCCCGGGCUCAACCUGGGAAUGGCCGUUGAAACUGGCGAACUGGAGUGUGGCAGAGGGGGGUGGAAUUCCGCGUGUAGCAGUGAAAUGCGUAGAGAUGCGGAGGAACACCGAUGGCGAAGGCAGCCCCCUGGGCUAACACUGACGCUCAGGCACGAAAGCGUGGGGAGCAAACAGG